GGAGUUGUGGCUCAGCGGUAGAGCGCUCACCUCAAUUGUUCGAGAACCUGGGUUCCAUCCUCAGCACCA
rnacentral:tRNA from 1 species